rnacentral:rRNA from 1 species
GAUGAACGCUGGCGGCGUGCUUAACACAUGCAAGUCGAACGGACUUAUUUUGAAAGCUUGCUUUUAAAAUAAGUUAGUGGCGGACGGGUGAGUAACGCGUGGGUAACCUGCCUCAUACAGGGGGAUAACAGUUAGAAAUGACUGCUAAUACCGCAUAAGCGCACAGUACCGCAUGGUACAGUGUGAAAAACUCCGGUGGUAUGAGAUGGACCCGCGUCUGAUUAGCUAGUUGGUGAGGUAACGGCUCACCAAGUCGACGAUCAGUAGCCGGACUGAGAGGUUGGACGGCCACAUUGGGACUGAGACACGGCCCAGACUCCUACGGGAGGCAGCAGUGGGGAAUAUUGGGCAAUGGGGGAAACCCUGACCCAGCAACGCCGCGUGAAGGAAGAAGGCUUUCGGGUUGUAAACUUCUUUUAGCAGGGACGAAGGACGUGACGGUACCUGCAGAAAAAGCAACGGCUAACUACGUG